rnacentral:rRNA from 1 species
UACAGAGGGUGCAAGCGUUGUUCGGAAUUAUUGGGCGUAAAGCGCGUGUAGGCGGCCCUGCAAGUCGGGUGUGAAAUCCCACGGCUCAACCGUGGAAGUGCACUCGAAACUGCAGGGCUAGAGUCCUGGAGAGGAAGGUGGAAUGCUUGGUGUAGAGGUGAAAUUCGUAGAUAUCGAGCGGAACACCGGUGGCGAAGGCGGCCUUCUGGACAGUGACUGACGCUGAGACGCGAAAGCGUGGGGAGCAAACAGG